rfam:Clostridium sp. CAG:242 genomic scaffold, scf195
CGGGGUAUAGCGCAGUUUGGUAGCGUGCUUGGUUCGGGACCAAGAGGCCGUGGGUUCAAGUCCCGCUACUCCGA